UCGGGCGCUGCCUCCGUGGGGCGGGUCCACUACGCCAUCGAAACUGAGGAGCUGCAAUGGACGUGCGGGACCGGCUUGCGCGGUACUUUAUACAAGAUGGCACGGUGCCAUGGCAAGAAAGAAUUGUAGCACAUGCAGGCACUAAGGAAAUGUGAACCAAGUACCGGGGAGGAUAAACAGCAGGCAGCGCCCUCUUUGGAAGCCUUCGCGAAACCAAAGCAAGAAGCAUUAAUGGAAAUAUCUUGCAUUAAAC